GCGUGGCUCGUUCAGUCGGUAGAAUGUGUGACUCUUGAUCUUGAGGUCAUGAGUUCAAGCCUCAUGUUGGGUG
rnacentral:tRNA from 1 species